GANGGNAGCUUGCUCCCGGAUGUUAGCGGCGGACGGGUGAGUAACACGUGGGUAACNCUGCCUGUAAGACUGGGAUAACUCCGGGAAACCNGGAGCUAAUACCGGAUAGUUCCUUGAACCGCAUGGUUCAANGGAUGAAAGACGGUUUCGGCUGUCACUUACAGAUGGANCCNCGCGGCGCAUUAGCUAGUUGGUGGGGUAAUGGCUCACCAANGGCGACGAUGCGUAGCCGACCUGAGAGGGUGAUCGGCCACACUGGGACUGAGACACGGCCCAGACUCCUACGGGAGGCAGCAGUAGGGAAUCUUCCGCAAUGGACGAAAGUCUGACGGAGCAACGCCGCGUGAGUGAUGAAGGUUUUCGGAUCGUAAAGCUCUGUUGUUAGGGAAGAACAAGUGCGAGAGUAACUGCUCGCACCUUGACGGUACCUAACCAGAAAGCCACGGCUAACUACGUGCCAGCAGCCGCGGUAAUACGUAGGUGGCAAGCGUUGUCCGGAAUUAUUGGGCGUAAAGGGCUCGCAGGCGGUUUCUUAAGUCUGAUGUGAAAGCCCCCGGCUCAACCGGGGAGGGUCAUUGGAAACUGGGAAACUUGAGUGCAGAAGAGGAGAGUGGAAUUCCACGUGUAGCGGUGAAAUGCGUAGAGAUGUGGAGGAACACCAGUGGCGAAGGCGACUCUCUGGUCUGUAACUGACGCUGAGGAGCGAAAGCGUGGGGAGCGAACAGGAUUAGAUACCCUGGUAGUCCACGCCGUAAACGAUGAGUGCUAAGUGUUAGGGGGUUUCCGCCCCUUAGUGCUGCAGCUAACGCAUUAAGCACUCCGCCUGGGGAGUACGGUCGCAAGACUGAAACUCAAAGGAAUUGACGGGGGCCCGCACAAGCGGUGGAGCAUGUGGUUUAAUUCGAAGCAACGCGAAGAACCUUACCAGGUCUUGACAUCCUCUGACAACCCUAGAGAUAGGGCUUUCCCUUCGGGGACAGAGUGACAGGUGGUGCAUGGUUGUCGUCAGCUCGUGUCGUGAGAUGUUGGGUUAAGUCCCGCAACGAGCGCAACCCUUGAUCUUAGUUGCCAGCAUUCAGUUGGGCACUCUAAGGUGACUGCCGGUGACAAACCGGAGGAAGGUGGGGAUGACGUCAAAUCAUCAUGCCCCUUAUGACCUGGGCUACACACGUGCUACAAUGGACAGAACAAAGGGCUGCAAGACCGCAAGGUUUAGCCAAUCCCAUAAAUCUGUUCUCAGUUCGGAUCGCAGUCUGCAACUCGACUGCGUGAAGCUGNGAAUCGCUAGUAANNUCGCNGGAUCAGCNAUGCCGCNGGUGAAUANCGUUCCCGGGCCUUGUACACACCGCCCGUCACACNCACGAGAGUUUGCAACACCCGAAGUCGGUGAGGUAACCUUUANNGA
rnacentral:rRNA from 1 species